AUGAAUCAGAAUCGCGGUGUCCAGCAAAUUGCGAGGCGGUGGUCGAAGGUGUCCGUGGGUUGUGAGCGGAAAAGACAACCAAAUCUUCUUCUUCUUUCUCGGUAUCUUUUUGCUCGACAAUCAGCAAGGAAUAUUAGUAGCGUAAAUUGGAGUCCUUUCUUUAUUCUUAUGACCUGCUUUCUUUUUUCUCCUUGUUUCUACUGUAAGUUCAACCUUUUAUAG